rnacentral:rRNA from 1 species
CCUACGGGUGGCAGCAGUGGGGGAUAUUGCACAAUGGGGGAAACCCUGAUGCAGCGACGCCGCGUGGGCGAAGAAGUAUUUCGGUAUGUAAAGCCCUAUCAGCAGGGAAGAAGAAAUGACGGUACCUGAGUAAGAAGCACCGGCUAAAUACGUGCCAGCAGCCGCGGUAAAACGUAUGGUGCAAGCGUUAUCCGGAUUUACUGGGUGUAAAGGGAGCGCAGGGGGCACGGCAAGGCUGAUGCGAAAGUCUGGGGCCCAACCGCGGGACUGCAUUGGGAACUGCCGGGCUGGAGUGCCGGAGAGGUAGGCGGAAUGCCUAGUGUAGCGGUGAAAUGCAUAGAUAUUAGGAGGAACACCAGUGGCGAAGGCGGCCUACUGGACGGUGACUGACGCUGAGGCACGAAAGUGUGGGGAGCGAACAGGAUUAGAUACCCGAGUAGUC